UGCUUUCUUUCUCAAAAAAAAUGUCAAAAACUAACAUUUCUUUGAUUUUAAUUUAAAUAAAUUUUGUGAAGAGAGAGUAUCCAUUUGAAGUCUCAUCUCUAUGGGAUUGUUUUUUGGAAAAAUAUUAGUUUUUCCGUCGCAAGUUUAUUUGCAAUGAAAAUAAAUUUUAAAAAUUUCUUUUUUUUUUGCUCCAAAUGAUGUUGAAUACUGCACCAUUGGAUGAGUGUUCUAAUUCCAUUAGAAAAAUAUGCACAAACUGUCAAAGUCUGUGUGGAUAGGUGGAAUAUUAAGCAAUCGGACAGCAUUGAUAUAAAAAUAUCUAUCAUUCUAAAUGAUGUUUAUUCAUUUUUAAAGAAUGCAAAAGCAAGACCUAUAAAAACUAUUAUUGGAUUGCCUUCUUUGACGUAUUAUGGUGGUCUUCGUGAAAGAUGUGUUUAUUUGUUUUGUUCUUUUGUUUGGAGGUGUCAGACGCAUCCCCAUGAAAAUUGAUUGAUGUCUUUAAUAGAUUUUGUAUUGAAAAAAAAAGCGAUUUGGAAUGUAAGAGGAAGUUUGAGAUGCAAAAUGAAGUCAAUUAUAAGGAAAAGAAGGAA